rnacentral:rRNA from 1 species
GGGGGGGUAACAGUGUUUCCACCUUCCUUUUAAACACGGGCAUAACCGGGAGAAUUCCGGAAUAAUUUCCGGAUAUUACGGGGGUUCGCCAUGGAGAUAUUUGUUAAAGAUUUAUUGGGUUAAAGAUGGGCAUGCGCUCCAUUUAGUUAGUUGGUGAGGUUAACGGCUCACCAAAGCCAUCGAUGGAUAGGGGAACUGAGAAGUUUAUCCCCCCACACUGGGACUGAGACACGCCCCAGACUCNUACGGAGGGCAGCAGUGAGGAAUAUUGGUCAAUGAGGGCAACCUUGAACCAGCCAAGUCGCGUGAAGGAUGACUGUCCUAAGGAUUGUAAACUUCUUUUAUAUGGGAAUAAUUGUAGCCACGUGUGGUUAUUUGCAUGUACCAUAUGAAUAAGGAUCGGCUAACUCCGUGCCAGCAGCCGCGGUAAUACGGAGGAUCCAAGCGUUAUCCGGAUUUAUUGGGUUUAAAGGGUGCGCAGGCGGGAGAUUAAGUCGGUGGUGAAAUUUUGCGGCUCAACCGUAAGAGUGCCAUCGAAACUGGUUUUCUUGAGUGUAGAUGAAGUAGGCGGAAUUUGUGGUGUAGCGGUGAAAUGCAUAGAUAUCACGAGGAACUCCGAUUGCGCAGGCAGCUUACUAAACUACUACUGACGCUCAUGCACGAAGGCGUGGGGAUCAAACAGGAUUAGAUACCCUGGUAGUCCACGCAGUAAACGAUGAUUACUAGUUGUUUGCGAUACACAGUAAGCGACUGAGCGAAAGC